rnacentral:rRNA from 1 species
AUUGAACGCUGGCGGCAUGCUUUACACAUGCAAGUCGAACGGUAACAGGCCGCAAGGUGCUGACGAGUGGCGAACGGGUGAGUAAUACAUCGGAACGUGCCCAGUCGUGGGGGAUAACGCAGCGAAAGCUGUGCUAAUACCGCAUACGAUCUAUGGAUGAAAGCGGGGGACCGUAAGGCCUCGCGCGAUUGGCGCGGCCGAUGUCAGAUUAGCUAGUUGGUGGGGUAAAGGCCCACCAAGGCGACGAUCUGUAGCUGGUCUGAGAGGACGACCAGCCACACUGGGACUGAGACACGGCCCAGACUCCUACGGGAGGCAGCAGUGGGGAAUUUUGGACAAUGGGCGCAAGCCUGAUCCAGCAAUGCCGCGUGCAGGAAGAAGGCCUUCGGGUUGUAAACUGCUUUUGUACGGAACGAAACGGUCUGGGUUAAUACCCUGGGCUAAUGACGGUACCGUAAGAAUAAGCACCGGCUAACUACGUGCCAGCCGCCGCUGUAAGAC